rnacentral:rRNA from 1 species
AUUGAACGCUGGCGGCAGGCCUAACACAUGCAAGUCGAGCGGAUGAAGGGAGCUUGCUCCUGGAUUCAGCGGCGGACGGGUGAGUAAUGCCUAGGAAUCUGCCUGGUAGUGGGGGAUAACGUCCGGAAACGGGCGCUAAUACCGCAUACGUCCUGAGGGAGAAAGUGGGGGAUCUUCGGACCUCACGCUAUCAGAUGAGCCUAGGUCGGAUUAGCUAGUUGGUGGGGUAAAGGCCUACCAAGGCGACGAUCCGUAACUGGUCUGAGAGGAUGAUCAGUCACACUGGAACUGAGACCCGGUCCAGACUCCUACGGGAGGCAGCAGUGGGGAAUAUUGGACAAGGGGCGAAAGCCUGAUCCAGCCAUGCCGCGUGUGAAGAAGGUCUUCGGAUUGUAAAGCACUUUAAGUUGGGAGGAAGGGCAGUAAGUUAAUACCUUGCUGUUUUGACGUUACCAACAGAAUAAGCACCGGCUAACUUCGUG